AACGCACAUUGCGCCCUGUGGUAUUCCGCAGGGCAUGCCUGUUCGAGCGUCAUUUCAACCCUCAAGCUCUACUUGGUGUUGGGCCCCGCCCCGCGGCCGGCCCCAAAGACAGUGGCGGCGCCGCCUGGCCCUAAGCGUAGUACAUCUCUCGCUCUAGGACCUGGCGGUGGCCUGCCAGAACCCCCAACUCAUGUGGUUGACCUCGGAUCAGGUAGGGAUACCCGCUGAACUUAA
rnacentral:misc_RNA from 1 species